CGGGCCUACGGGGCCGGGCCUGGGAACCGUGUCUCCACCUUCCUCCUCCAGCCCCGGGGGCAGGACCCUCGAGUCCCCGCCUGGCUCUGAACCCGCCGGCACGCCGUGACCUUGACCUCUCUGUGCCUCCACUAACCCCUGUCCCGACACCUGGGCUGCGAGGGUCGGCCCUCCGCCGCCAGCACCCCGAGGGCAGGUGGGAAGCUGGGUGCGCAGCGCAGGGUGCCUUCUUGUGGAGGGGCAGCCGCAGCACAGCUCUCACGGCGGGGACCACGACGCUGCAGCUGGCCCGACCACCACCGAGGGCUGAUUACAGUUGUGCCUGCAGUGCUGAGUCGGGGGAGCAGAGGGCACUGCUGGCCCCAGGCCCAGGGCGGGUGCUGAGGGGUCCCUGGCCCCCACCCAGGCCCGUCAUAAGCUGACCCUCCCCAGUGAGAGGCACUGUUGUCUGCUGGGCUGAACCCGGGACCUGCCAUAGAGAAGCAAGGGGCCCCCCCAGGGUCAGGCCUGGAUCGAGGUCCCCCCAGCCAGAGUUGGUGCAGAGCCCUGCCAGGAGGGAGAGGAGAGGAGAGGAGAGGUCGUGUGCUGCAGCCCCUCCUACAACCCGGUCCAGCGACCUCGGGAAGCCAAGUGCCCACAUCUCAUCCCAACUUCCAGCUCAGCGGCCCCACUUGUUCCCUGAACUGGCCCCAGGGAGUAUCCACACCGUGGAAACGGGCAGAAGCUCAAAUCACAGCUGCUUUUUUUUUCUCCCCAGAGAGUGAGUUACUAAACAGGAUGAAGACCCCAUGGACCAGGAUGGGGGCAACACCAUCCUAGGAGCCUAGAGCACGUCCUGGAGGGCAGAGCUCGUCUGGUCCCCAGUCCACCUCUGCUGAUGGCAAAACUGAGUCCAGGCAGGGGCCGCUCAGGGUGAUGCAACAAGGCUCGCUUGGAUGGGGGUCCAGACCAGGCCUUCUGCCCUCACACGUGAGUUCCGCCCAUUACCCAGGGACCCUCCUGACAGCCGGGGCAGGUUCCGGUCCAGGGGGCUCCAGGUGCCAAGUUCUGGACUGCCGCCUGCCUCUAUCCUGCACACACCCCAGUCCCUCUCUGUCCUGGGCCCUGGGCUUGGGGCCCCUGAGAUGUGUGAGCCAUGCCCUGCUCCCAGGGCCACAGCUUCCUACUGGGACAGUCACACCAGGUGUGAUCAUGUGCUAUAACGGGGGCGGCAGCAAGAGGCACAGAGGGCGGCAUCUAACCUGUGCUGUAGAGUGGGGACGGGCAAAGAGCUGGUUUCUACAAGGCUUCUCAGAGGAGGGUCUGUCAGAGAAACUGAGGCUGGGCAGUGGCAAACCUGUGGAUCAGCGCCCGGCUCCCCAGGCGGGAUGGCAGGCCCGGGUCCACACCUCUGGGCAAGGGACACAUCGUACAGUGGGCGCUAUGCAAUGGGGUAAGCCCCGCCCCCAUCCCGUCCCUGCCACACUGCUCCCUGAAGACAUGGGGCCAGUGUCAGGCGACUAAUACGGCUCACUUCACUAAGCUGGAGGGUCAUGGGCUGGUGUGUGGGUCCCUGCCCCCCUGCAUCCUCUGCUGGAGGCUCAUGGGUGGUGUGUGGGUCCCUGCCCCCCCCAACCCCUUGUGUCCCCAUGUCCCAUGCUGGAGGGUCACAGGCUGGUGUGUGGGUCGCUGCCCCUGCCCCCUGCGUCCCUACGUCCCCAUCACCUGCACCGAGGAGCGGGAGGCCCGGGCCUUGUUGAGCGUGCGCCGGCGCUCCCAGCGGUGAAUGGAGUCUUGCACCUCCACGCUCAGCUGCCGGGUCACUGUGAUCUUGUCAUAGUUCUUGAUGUGCUCUAGGGCCCCGUAGGUGGUGGUCAGGUAGUAGGACCCUGUGGAGAAGAGGGUGUACGAGCUGAGGGGAGACCUCCAGCUGCUCCAGGCACCCCCCCCCCACCGCUGCCUGGGGCACCUCGGUGUCACCUGGUCACCUGUGGAGCUACAGCCCCUGCAUGGCACCCCUACCAACUCGCCAGCUUCCUCAAGUCCCGCCCCUGGAGCUGUCAGGCCCUGCUUGGUUCAAAAGACUGUCUUUGGCUCCCCCUUCAGGAUGGAAUUUAUUUUUCAAUUGCCUCAGUUUUCCUGCCUGUGAGAUACGCAGGUUGCAGGAGCCGGUAACGCACAGCACCAGGAAGCAGGUUGGACCCAGAGAGCCAGCCUCCGCAUACUUCGUGCCCGCUGUGUGACCUCGGACUUGUCGCUUCACCUCUCUGAGCCUGUAUUUCUGGUCAUGCAUGAUGCGACACUGGUCACAGGACAUGCUAUGGGAUUUUGGAGAGUUCAUGAAACCUCCCUCCACCUAGAUCCCUGGAUGACCACAUGGAGCACAGCCGACGCCCAGCCUUGCCCUCCUCCAUUCACCUGGGCUAGAGUGAGAAAUCAGCUCUCUCUGGAUGACACUGCAGGGUUUACCUGUCAGACCAGCAAGCCUUUUUCCUCAACUAAUUGUCGACUUACCUACCCAUCUAUGGCUCUUCUAAAAAGGCCAGAAACAAACCCACCAAAACACUAAUUGCCUUUUUCAACAAUAAACAUUAUUGACUUCCAGUUAUCCCAAGGUGGCUCAGCGGUUGAGCAUCUGUCUUCGGCUCAGGGUGUGAUCCUGGAGUCCCGGGAUCGAGCCCCAUAUGGAGCUCCCUGCAUGGAGCCUGCUUCUCCCUUUGCCUGUGUCUCUGACUCUC